UACGUAGGUGGCAAGCGUUGUCCGGAAUUAUUGGGCGUAAAGCGCGCGCAGGCGGUCCUUUAAGUCUGAUGUGAAAGCCCACGGCUCAACCGUGGAGGGUCAUUGGAAACUGGGGGACUUGAGUGCAGGAGAGAAGAGUGGAAUUCCACGUGUAGCGGUGAAAUGCGUAGAGAUGUGGAGGAACACCAGUGGCGAAGGCGGCGCGCUGGACCACUACUGACGCUGAGGAACGAAAGCUAGGGGAGCAAACAGG
rnacentral:rRNA from 1 species